rnacentral:rRNA from 1 species
AUUGAACGCUGGCGGCAGGCCUAACACAUGCAAUUCGAACGGUAGCACAGAGAGCUCGCUCUCGUGUGACGAGUGGCGGACGGGUGAGUAACGUCUGGGAAACUGUCCGAUGGAGGGGGAUAACUACUGGAAACGGUAGCUAAUACCGCAUAACGUCACAAGACCAAAGUGGGGGACCUUCGGGCCGCACACCAUCGGAUGUGCCCAGAUGGGAUUAGCUAGUAGGUGGGGUAAUGGCUCACCUAGGCGACGAUCCCUAGCUGGUCUGAGAGGAUGACCAGCCACACUGGAACUGAGACACGGUCCAGACUCCUACGGGAGGCAGCAGUGGGGAAUAUUGCACAAUGGGCGCAAGCCUGAUGCAGCCAUGCCGCGUGUAUGAAGAAGGCCUUCGGGUUGUAAAGUACUUUCAGCGGGGAGGAAGGCGGUGAAGUUAAUAGCUUCACCGAUUGACGUUACCCGCAGAAGAAGCACCGGCUAACUCCGUGCCAGCCGCCGCAGUAA